rnacentral:rRNA from 1 species
UACGAAGGGGGCUAGCGUUGCUCGGAAUUACUGGGCGUAAAGCGCACGUAGGCGGCUCUUUAAGUCGGGGGUGAAAUCCUGGAGCUCAACUCCAGAACUGCCUUCGAUACUGGAGAGCUCGAGUCCGGGAGAGGUGAGUGGAACUGCGAGUGUAGAGGUGAAAUUCGUAGAUAUCCGGAGGAACACCGGUGGCGAAGGCGGCUUCCUGGACCGAUACUGACGCUGAGGCGCGAAAGCUAGGGGAGCAAACGGG